rfam:Ricinus communis cultivar Hale ctg_1100012355845, whole genome shotgun sequence.
UGGAAAUGGACAAGAAUUCAUCAAGAUCGGACAAGAGCCCGCGUUGCACACAUUGAGCACGGCCUGAGUCAAGGUCGUGCUGACCAUCACGGCCUGGACUCUGGCCGUGACCAACCAUCGAAACUUGGUCUUCAAAAUAAUGGUUUGAGCACGGUUUCCGUAGCCACCACGGCCUCCAGCAAGGCUAGUGGUGGCCAGCACGGGGAGCAACAAGGCCAUGGUCCCACUGUCCCUGUCUACUAUCCAGCAAAACCACAGCCAAGGGAACGAGCUUGGCAGAAUCAGCAGGGAAAGAAGACCCUGUUGAGCUUGACUCUAGUCCGACUUUGUGAAAUGACGUGAGAGGUGUAGGAUAAGUGGGAGCCUUAAUCGGUGACGGUGAAAUACCACUACUUUUAACAUUAUUUUACUUAUUCAGUGAAUUGGAGGCAGGGCUACUGAUGGGUGCUACUCGUGUUAGCUACAAUCUAAGGCAGUGUACCUAUCGAUGCAGUCUAGCACUAAUGGCGAGUAUCAAGGUCGUAUUCCUCGGGAAAGCGAAAGCCCAGAGUUACUUCUUUGUUCUUUGUUAUAUUAACCUAAAAUGGAUGAUGAAUAAAUUCUAAACUAACUAUUAACUACGAGCUAAGUUCUAAGGGAGAUGCAGGAGUAAUUGAUAAGUGAAAUAAUCAAGACAAGAAGACAAACCCCAAAGGGAAUCUAAACUAGUUGGCAAUCAAACAAAAGAUAAAGGAUCGGUGAGUCUAAUUAUGCUACCCGUGGACGAAUUCUUAACCGAAUUUAGUUUCUCUCUCUCGAUAACCGAAUUCCUAAACCUAAUAACCUAAAGUUGGAAUCUCUUCCUAACGAUUGAUUCUUAAAUUAGCAUUAAGCUUUAAUCCGCCUCUAUUAAGCUUUGUUAAUUCUUAAUCCGGCUAAUUAAUUAUCCUUAUCUCUAAGCGAUUAUUAACUAGUUCUUGUUAUUCAAAAUUCCAAUUGCUAAACGGAUUUCUCAAUCUAAUAAAGCAAUCUAAACAUCACAAUUCACAACGUCUCAUGAAUAAUGCAUAAUCUUAUUCAUACUAAAAACAAGAAGAAUACAAAACCAACUCGAACAAUCCAACAAUAUAAUAUCAAGCCAACAUAGUAAAGAAAUCCCAAUGGAUUAAAUCAAUCUAGCUAAUCAUGUUCAUGUUUAAAACAAUCUAGGAAAUCAAUCACAAUGAAAGAAUAAUGAAAAUAAAACAUGUACACCCUUUUCUCUCGAAUUGGAUGAACAGCUCCAAAUCUGGAUCUACACUUUGAUUAAUCUCCCAAACUACCUCUUGAAUUGCUUCCACUACUGUUUUGCACUCGGAACCUUGCGAUUCCGGGAUUCUUACUCCCCGCAACUCUCUCUUACACUCAAUACUGUGCAAAAAUCGAACCAGCCGCCAGGGCUCUAUGUCACUUCUUUCCCCCUCCCUAAGAAAAAUGAAUUUUUCUUAUAUAUUUAACUCAGCACGGCCGUGGUCAAGGCCGUGCUGGUCAGCACGGCCGGAGUCUAUGCCGUGCUGAAACUGUGGCUCUCACCAACUAGGGUUUCACCAUGACCGUGUUGCUCCCCGUGCUGGAGGCCGUGGUGGCUACGAAAACUGUGCCCAAACUAUUGUUUUGAAGACCAAGUUUUGAUGGUUGGUCACGGCCAGAGUCUAGGCCGUGAUGGUCAGCACGGCCUUGACUCAGGCCGUGCUCAAUGUGUGCAACGCGGGCUCUUGUCCGAUCUUGAUGAAUUCUCGUCCGUUUCCGCACGUAUUGAUCUAUAAUUGCUUAAACACCGAUGAUGGUCCUAUAAAUGUUCCUGACAUGCAAAAGAACAUAAAACACGGGUGAUCUGGGAAUAAAAGCACAAUAAUUGCUAAGAACAUACGCAAUAAUAUGCAAGCAAAUAUGUGUAAAACUAUGCUCAUCAGCUACGCCCCUCAUUUUGGGCCCAAGGUCGCUUCGGUGGCCGAUCCGGGCGGAAGACAUUGUCAUGUGGGGAGUUUGGCUGGGGUGGCACAUCUGUUAAAAGAUAACGCAGGAGUUCUAAGAUGAGCUCAACGAGAAUAGAAAUCUCAUGUGGAACAAAAGAGUAAAAGCUCAUUUGAUUCUAAUUUCCAGGACGAAUACGAACCAUGAAAGCGUGGCCUAUCGAUCCUUUAGACCUUUAGAAUUUGAAGUUAGAGGUGUCAGAAAAGUUACCACAGGGAUAACUGGCUUGUGGCAGCCAAGCGUUCAUAGCGACGUUGCUUUUUGAUCUUUCGAUGUCGGCUUUUCCUAUCAUUGUGAAGCAGAAUUCACCAAGUGUUGGAUUGUUCACCCACCAAUAGGGAACGUGAGCUGGGUUUAGACCGUCGUGAAACAUGUUAGUUUUACCUUACUGAUGAUUGUGUCGAAAGGUAAUUCAACCUAGUACGAGAGGAACCAUUGAUUCGCACAAUUAGUCAUCGCGCUUGGUUGAAAAGCCAGUGGCAUGAAGCUACCGUGCACUGGAUUAUGACUGAACGCCUCUAAGUUAGAAUUCGGGCCAGAAGCGACACAUUGUCCACCGCUCAUUUGCCGACCAGCAGUAGGGGCCCUCCGGCCCCCAAAGGCACGUGUUGUUGGCUAAGCCCUCGCGGCAAACAAGCCGCGCGGGCCGCCUUGCAUUACAAUUUCCACCGAGUGGCAGACUGAAUCCUUUGUAGACGACUUAAAUAUGCGACGGGGUAUUGUAAGUGGUAGAGUGGCCUUGCUGCCACGAUCCACUGAGAUUCAGCCCUUCGUCGCUCCAAUUC